UACACUAUACAUAGACUGUGUUUUUUCAAUCGGUAAUUUUUAUAGAACCCCCUUGAUCCAGUGUUAUACAGUUCUGUUAGUCUUUAGUAAGGUUCUAAGGGAACCCUAAUGGAAGAAAGUUGUCAUAGAAUAAUAAGCACAAGAAGAAUGGCCACCCCAUUUUCAACCGUUAACCACAAUACCUACAUGUAUAAUAUACAUGGUGAUUGUCAAGCUGUACAGAUUGGAAAAUCAAACACAAUAAAUGAAACUAGUAACCAGACCGACCUGGAUGAUCGCACAUCCGAGAUGGAAGACGUGAGAUUCCAGAUGAAUCGGAUAAAGGAACAAUUUGAAAGAAAAGACGAAGAAAUAGCUGAAUUAAAAAACAGGGUUGCUGACCUGGAAGCAUUUAAGACGAAAGUAGAACAAUCAGAAGUCAAGACAAACGCCAACACUAAUACUAGACGUUAUGUCAGGGAUACGAGUAAUGAUAUUACUCUUAAGUUGUUAUAUGGCUGUUGGUCAUGUAAAGAUAUGGGUACUAUAACUGUCAGUAAGAAAGUCAGUUUUAAAGAUUUAAAGAAGUUGAUAGAAGAGAAGAAGAAUAAGAAGAUUAGUAGGAUUGUUAUAGUAGGAUAUAGAGAUGGUAGAGAGGAAGUUAUCUACGACAGUGAUAGCAACAAGAACGACUAUAGCCUGGAACAACUUGGUGUUGUAGACCAGAACAAGGUUUACUACUAUUAAUAGUAAAAUAUAGAGAUUAUAUUGAUAUGAUGUAUUGAUGGUCUCCUUUAUAUUAAACAAUGAGGUGUGUCGGGUGGGGUAGGGUAGAUAUUACUUUUAGUAAAAUAUAAUGGAUGAACCAGAACGAGGUUAGGUAUUAUUAUCUUAUUGUCUCUUGAUUAGGUUGUGAGGGUGGAAUAAAGUAAAAUGUUAAAACCGGUGGGUGUGCGUGGUGUUGUGGUGAGUGGUGGUGUGGUGUGUGUGGUGGUGGGGCGUGGUUGGGUGUGUGCUAUAUUAGUGAAGAGUAUUAUCAACCACACCAGCACCCUAGUAUUUAACCAAGUAUGUUAUACACCCCCCCACCACCCCCAUGAUUGAUAUAUUGAAACUUACUCUAAGUAAUAUCUCACCUGUCCCACCUGAUUGAUAUAUUGAAUCUUACUCUAAGUAAUAUCUUACCUGUCUCACCUGUCCCACCUGAUUGAUAUAUUGAAUCUUACUCUAAGUAAUAUCUAACAUCCUAAUAUAAAACUAGCUUACUACUGUAAAUAAAGCUGUAAUUCAAUAGUCACGAUUAUCAGGUGAUAUGUAGUCGUGAUCAUGUGAUAACUAACUGACAUAUAUAUAAUAUAUAAUUAUAUUAGUGAAACAAUGUUUUAUGCUUUUUAUUCUAAUUUUGUUUCAAUAAAAUAUUUUAUAACUAAA